GAAAACGAGUUUGGUAAUUAAACCCCGUUAAUACUAAAGACGGGGAAAGUACCGUUAGUGGUAAAAGUAAACUGUCAAAUAUUAGGAAUUUAUUUAAUAAUCCUAAUAUUUAUUUGAAGUGAAUAAAAAGCUUUUAAGAAAUAAAGUGAUAGAAGGCCCGAGUUAACGGGACCCGAAAUAAACUUAGUCAUAAAUAUUCUCGAACCCGCAAAGUUAACUAGGAAUAUUAAACCUAGUUAAUAAGUGGGGAAUAUUGUUAGAAAUAAGUAGGUUGUUCCCUACUUAAUUAACUAACCAAAUUAGAGGGGCCAAUAUUGUUAAAAUUGAAACUUAACUUUAAUUAAUUAAAUAAAACACACCAAACACCCCACAAGGAGGUGUCUGGUCGUACAAGAAGAACAGGGGGGCGAUCCCCACACAUCAAAACCCUAAGUCUUCACCAAACUUGCAAAUUGAUGGCUCAAUCCAAGUCAAAAUCGAAAAUCAAGCAUAGAUUAUUGAUCCCCAUUGAAAGGGGAGUCAUAAGUUUGACUCUGACAAGCUAGGUAGGAGCUUGGAAAUGAACGGGUCAAAUGGAUACAAGUUCAAGUAUGAAGCUCGCAAGGAUGCAAGGAGUAGAUAUCCAAUGGAUACUCGCAUCGCUCUUAAUUAGCAAUUAUAAAGCAAGGUGAAUGUCGAGGGUCCCGGAUGAAGAUCGAGCAUCGAGCAAGAACUGAACACACAUUAAAUAAAGCUUCCGCAACGUUGUUUUGUCGUUAUUCUAAACGGUGAUUUAAAUCACAUUAUGUAUAUCACUUAAAUUGUAAAAGUUUUUAAUAAACCCGCAUUUUGUACAGUAUGUGUGGUCUUAACUACACAUCUAAUUGUGGUAUUUUCAUGCUAAAUUGUAAUUUAGUAACUAGGGUGUUACAAGUUGGUAAUCAGAGCUCAUGGUUAAAGAUUAAGGUGUGUUCGGUUCGAGGCUUGAUCGCAAAUCCGGUAAGUACAUGUAUGUUAAUAGCUUAGCAUGCUAAAGUGUUGUAAACAACACAUAGGGCUAUCGUGUGAUACACGUUACCCCAAUUAAAAUGAUUAAUAUGGUUGACGAAAAUACGCGCGUUGACGCGUAUAGUAAAAAAAAAAAAGCCUUAUAUUAUAAUACGGGCGAUUAUUGAAGUUGAAAUUACUAACUCUUGUGAAUGUUUUAAUUGAAGGACACUCGCGUCUGAAGAUGACGAGAGUUGAACAAAUUGCGGAUAUGAUGAUGGAACGGUCCGAGAUGUGACAAGAAGAGCAUACUCAUCAAGGACCUAAAUCGCGUAACGAUCGCAAAUAAGUAAUGGCAAGGAAUGCCCGUCGGGGCAAGCAUUACCAGUUUGACUCUGACAAGCUAGGUAGGAGCUUGGAAAUGAACGGGUCAAAUGGAUACAAGUUCAAGUAUGAAGCUCGCAAGGAUGCAAGGAGUAGAUAUCCAAUGGAUACUCGCAUCGCUCUUAAUUAGCAAUUAUAAAGCAAGGUAUUAAACCGGGUUAGUAAGUUGAUCCGAGCCAGGUAUGUAUAAUAGAUUAACUCAUCAUGUAGAACUUGAAGUUCUAUGAAAGUUAGGCAAAAUAAAAAAAAA